AUUGAACGCUGGCGGCAGGCCUAACACAUGCAAGUCGAGCGCGUGGCGGACGGGUGUGUAAUGUCUGGGAAACAGUCCGAUGGGGGGGGAUAACACCUGGAAACGGUAGCUAAUACCGCAUAUCAUCUGAUAUGCCCAGAUGGGAUUAGCUAGUAGGGGGGGUAACGGCUCACCUAGGCGACGAUCCCUAGCUGGGCUGUGAGGAUGACCAGCCACACUGGAACUGAGACACGGUCCAGACUCCUACGGGAGGCAGCAGUGGGGAAUAUUGCACAAUGGGCGCAAGCCUGAUGCAGCCAUGCCGCGUGUGUGAAGAAGGCCUUCGGGUUGUAAAGCACUUUCAGCGGGGAGGCGUUACCCGCAGAAGAAGCACCGGCUAACUCCGUGCCAGCAGCCGCGGUAAUAC
rnacentral:rRNA from 1 species